GACGAACGCUGGCGGCGUGCCUAAUACAUGCAAGUAGAACGCUGAAGGAGGAGCUUGCUUCUCUGGAUGAGUUGCGAACGGGUGAGUAACGCGUAGGUAACCUGCCUGGUAGCGGGGGAUAACUAUUGGAAACGAUAGCUAAUACCGCAUAACAGUAGAUAUCGCAUGAUAUCUACUUGAAAGUUGCAAUUGCAUCACUACCAGAUGGACCUGCGUUGUAUUAGCUAGUUGGUGAGGUAACGGCUCACCAAGGCGACGAUACAUAGCCGACCUGAGAGGGUGAUCGGCCACACUGGGACUGAGACACGGCCCAGACUCCUACGGGAGGCAGCAGUAGGGAAUCUUCGGCAAUGGACGGAAGUCUGACCGAGCAACGCCGCGUGAGUGAAGAAGGUUUUCGGAUCGUAAAGCUCUGUUGUAAGAGAAGAACGAGUGUGAGAGUGGAAAGUUCACACUGUGACGGUAUCUUACCAGAAAGGGACGGCUAACUACGUG
rnacentral:rRNA from 1 species